rnacentral:rRNA from 1 species
AGAGUUUGAUCCUGGCUCAGAUUGAACGCUGGCGGCAGGCCUAACACAUGCAAGUCGAGCGGGGUUUUCGGACCUAGCGGCGGACGGGUGAGUAAUGCGUAGGAAGCUACCCGAUAGAGGGGGAUACCAGUUGGAAACGACUGUUAAUACCGCAUAAUGUCUACGGACCAAAGUGUGGGACCUUCGGGCCACAUGCUAUCGGAUGCGCCUACGUGGGAUUAGCUAGUUGGUGGGGUAAUGGCUCACCAAGGCGACGAUCCCUAGCUGGUUUGAGAGGAUGAUCAGCCACACUGGAACUGAGACACGGUCCAGACUCCUACGGGAGGCAGCAGUGGGGAAUAUUGGACAAUGGGCGCAAGCCUGAUCCAGCCAUGCCGCGUGUGUGAAGAAGGCCUUCGGGUUGUAAAGCACUUUCAGCGAGGAGGAAGGGUUAGUAGUUAAUAGCUGCUAAUUUUGACGUUACUCGCAGAAGAAGCACCGGCUAACUCUGUGCCAGCAGCCGCGGUAAUACAGAGGGUGCAAGCGUUAAUCGGAAUUACUGGGCGUAAAGCGCACGUAGGCGGUUUUUUAAGUC